UUCGAUUUGCCCAAGCUCUUUAAUUAGCUAUAUAAAGCAUAUAUGUAUAUAGUUUGGGUCUUGACUUUGCUUAAUUCCUAGUUUUUAGCAAAAACAGUCCUAAGAGGACUUUUAGCGAACAUGUUAUGUGCGCCACUUUAACAAUCAGAUUUCUUAGCCAUUUCUUUGUGUUCCAACCCGAAUUCGCCAUCCUUAUUACUCCGCACAUUAACAAC
rnacentral:lncRNA from 1 species